GAUGAACGCUAGCGAUAGGCUUAACACAUGCAAGUCGAGGGGCAGCAUGGUCUUAGCUUGCUAAGACUGAUGGCGACCGGCGCACGGGUGCGUAACGCGUAUGCAACUUGCCUCACAGAGGGGGAUAACCCGUCGAAAGACGGACUAAUACCGCGUACACUCCAUCUUGGGCAUCCAAGGUAGAGGAAAUGAAAUUCGCUGUGAGAUAGGCAUGCGUCCCAUUAGCUAGUUGGUGAGGUAACGGCUCACCAAGGCGACGAUGGGUAGGGGAACUGAGAGGUUGAACCCCCACACUGGUACUGAGACACGGACCAGACUGCUACGGCAGGCAGCAGUGAGGAAGAUUGGUCAAUGGGCGAGAGCCUGAACCAGCCAAGUCGCGUGAAGGAUGACUGUCUUAUGGAUUGUAAACUUCUUUUAUACAAGAAUAACAGGAGUCACGUGUGACUCCCUGCAGGUACCGUAUGAAUAAGCAUCGGCUAACUCCGUG
rnacentral:rRNA from 1 species